rnacentral:rRNA from 1 species
AUUGAACGCUGGCGGCAUGCCUUGCACAUGCAAGUCGAACGGCAGCACGGGAGCAAUCCUGGUGGCGAGUGGCGAACGGGUGAGUAAUAUAUCGGAACGUGCCCAGUCGUGGGGAUAACGUAGCGAAAGCUACGCUAAUACCGCAUACGAUCUAUGGAUGAAAGCGGGGGAUCGCAAGACCUCGCGCGAUUGGAGCGGCCGAUAUCAGAUUAGGUAGUUGGUGAGGUAAAGGCUCACCAAGCCGACGAUCUGUAGCUGGUCUGAGAGGACGACCAGCCACACUGGGACUGAGACACGGCCCAGACUCCUACGGGAGGCAGCAGUGGGGAAUUUUUGGACAAUGGGCGCAAGCCUGAUCCAGCAAUGCCGCGUGCAGGAUGAAGGCCUUCGGUUGUAACUAGCUUUUGUACGGU